ACCUUCAAGCGAGGGAUGGCCUGAAGCCUGCAGGCCGGACUGUCAGUUCCAUGUGGAGUCCAGGACCCAGAGUGAGAACUUCACUGAUGCCUUUCGGCCAAUCGGAUGGUGCUUUUUCCAGGCCCACCCAUGACCGCCCAUGGACCAAUCAGCAUGCACUUCCUCUAUUCUGAGUCCAUAAAAAUCCCUGGAUUUGUACACGCUCUCUUCGGGAUGACCUGCCUAUGCCAUGAAGCUGAGGAUUGGUAGCCCUUUUAGAGGAACACGUGCUUCCAGACCAGGUUGGAGUGCAGCAGCGUGGCCCCGGCUCACUGCAGUCUUAACCUUCCCUGGCUCAAGUGAUUCUCCUGCUUCAGGUUCCCGAGUAGCUAGGACUACAGGUAUGUACAGGCUAAUUUUUGUAUUUUUUGUAGAGAGAGGGUUUCAUCAUGUUUUCCAGGCUGUCUUGAACUCCUGAAUUCAGGUGAUCUACCCAUCUCGGCUUCCCAAAGCACUGGGAUUACAGAAAACAGCCACAGCACCCAGCCUUCAAAGUAGUUUUGAUUUGAAUUUCUCUGAUGAUCAAUGAUGUUGAGUACCUUUUCAUAUACUUGUUUUGUACUUGCAUGUCUUCUUUUGAGAAAUGUCUAUACAGAUAUUUUGCCCGUUUUUAAAUCAGAUUACUAGAUUUUUUCCUACAGAGUCGUUUGAGCUUUUAAUAUAUUCUGGUUAUUAAUCCCUUGUAAGACAGAUUGCAAAUAUUUUCUCUCAUUCCAUGGACUGUUGUUUCACUUUGUUGAUUUUUUUUCCCUUAGCUGUGCAGAAACUUUUAAACUUGAUGUGAUCCCAUUUGUUCAUUUCUGCUUUAGCUGCAUGUGCUUUUUGGGUAUUCCUCAAGAAAUCUUUGCCAGUUCAAUGUCCUGGAGAGUUUCUCCAAAGUUUUCCUUUAGCAGUUUCAUAGUUUGAAGUCUUAUAUUUAAGACUUUAAUCUAUUAUGUUUGAUUUUUGUAUAUGGUGAGAGAUAGGAAUCUAGUUUCAUUCUUCUGCGUAUGAAUAUUUAGUUUUCCAAGCACCAUUUAUUGAACCUUUCUAAAGGUAUGCUUCUUUAGAGGGACAACUAGAUUUUAAUGCUGCAGCUGAAAUUUCGUUUCAAAGAGUAUAAGAUGUUUACUUCACAAAUUACAUGACCUCUUUCUCUUAUUUUUGUUUUUAUCAUUAGAAAACUGUGGAAUCUGUUUUUUACUGGCACUUUCCAGGAAAAAAAAAAAAAUUGCAUAGGUUUCUCAUUUUCUGGUUGGUUUCUCAUGUAAGUUUCAGUGUGAAUUUGAGAACACAGCAGAGUUUUAAAGAUAAAUUCUUGGUGGGGAAACAAAGAAUUUGGUUUAGCUGUGAGUCAUCUUGUAUCCAAAUUAUAUGAAAAGGGGAAAAUAUAUUUUGGGGGAUAUCUUUCACACAUACAAAAAACUUGUAUUGUGCAAUCGAUUUUGCUUAUCAAUGUGACUUAGAAGAAAUGUCAGUACCUGAAAAAGAAAUAAUUGUGGUGAAUAAUUUUUUGAUGUGAGGGGACAGGGUCUGACUCUUGCCCAGGCUAGAGCUUAGUGACACAGUCACAGUUCACUGCAGCCUUGGCCACCAUGCCUGGCUAGUUUUUUGUAGAGAUGGGGUUUGACCAUGUUUGCUAGGCUGGUCUCAAAUUCCUGGAUUCAAGCAAUCUUCCCGCCUCAGCCUCCCAAAGCACUGGGAUUAUAGGUGUGAGCCACCACACCCAGCCCAGGAAUAUUUUUAAGUUGACUUAAAACUUUACGUUUUGGUGAGAGAAAGCAUUUAUAUUUAAAUAUACAUUGUUAAAAUUUUGAAACUUACGUAUUUCCCUAAAAAGAAAUAAAAGUAUCUUAACUUAUUUUUCAAAUUCAUGUCACAAGAAAAUAAUUUAGUAAACAGAAAUCUGUCAUAUUCACUAGAAAAAUUAGGUCUUAUAUUUAGUUUUCAAAAUAAAUAAGUGGAAACUCUAAAGCAAGGUUAAAUUUUACCUUUCCUUUGUGUACAAUAACAUAGCUAAUAUUUAUAGAACAGGACUAUGGUGGAGGCAUUAUCUAUCAAUUUUUAGAGUUUAAUAUACAAUUGUAUAACUGAAUAAGAGAAUGUUUAAGAGAGGAAGCUUCUUAGUCAUAAUUUAAUUGCUUUCCUCCAAUUUAGACAUAAUACAAUUGACAUAAACAUACACCUGCAAUGUGUGAUAAGUUUUAUGUUGUGGUACUAUUGAAGCAGAGGAAUAGCUAACACAGGCUGAAGUGGUUUAGUAAAAAAAAAAAAAAAACAACAACAACUUUAAAAUACGCUGGCUCUUGCAGUCAUCC